AACGCACCUUGCGCUCCUUGGUAUUCCGAGGAGCAUGCCUGUUUGAGUGUCAUUAAAUUCUCAACCCAUCCAACUUGUAAUGAGUCGGUAAUGUGGCUUGGAUUAUGGGGGUUUGCAGGCCUUUGUGGGUCAGCUCUCCUGAAAUGCAUUAGCGGAACGGUUUGCGAUCUGUCACUGGUGUGAUAACUAUCUAUACCUAAGACUAUGGAACGCUCUCUGUCUGUUCAGCUUCUAACAGUCCUUGUGGACAACUUUAUUGAAAGUUUGACCUCAAAUCAGGUAGGAUUACCCGCUGAACUUAA
rnacentral:misc_RNA from 1 species